CAGCAGCCACGGUAAUACGAAGGGUGCAAGCGUUAAUCGGAAUUACUGGGCGUAAAGCGUGCGUAGGCGGUGAGUUAAGUCUGCUGUGAAAUCCCCGGGCUCAACCUGGGAAUGGCAGUGGAUACUGGCUCGCUAGAGUGUGUCAGAGGAUGGUGGAAUUCCCGGUGUAGCGGUGAAAUGCGUAGAGAUCGGGAGGAACAUCAGUGGCGAAGGCGGCCAUCUGGGACAACACUGACGCUGAGGCACGAAAGCGUGGGGAGCAAACAGGAUUAGAUACCCGCGUAGUCCCUGUCUCUUAUAU
rnacentral:rRNA from 1 species